GUUAUUUCUACAGCGUUUGGAGGGACCCGUUUAGAGAGAGGCAGAGGUCGAGCCGUGGAGCAGAUCUCGCCGCGCGGGCUCCGCCGGCCCCCGGCUGGGCCUGGUGCGUCCUGCCGGCCACCAGCGACCUCCUCGUCGGUGAGUACGUGCAGCAGCCCGGAGAGGUGCCCAAGGCUGGAUCUCGCAGAACAAGGACAUGAGGUACUUGGGCAUGGAAUGGGAAUCACAAUUGUUCUGGUGGAAAUGAAGAAUGUCCUGUUAUUUGGCUGCUACCAUCGAUGUUCUUUCAGAUUGAACAUUGCCAUGAUCGUUUCUCUACGCAACGAAUAUAUUAGAUCAAGCAUCAUGUCAUGGACACCAUAAGACUUUUCUGCGUUGAUAGUGAUGUCUACGGGUUGGAUUGUGCUUCUGUUUAUCAGCUCACUGAAGUAACUCUCCUAGCUCAAAUGGGUUAAUCUUCUGGAUAUAUGCUUACGUAUAAUAAAUGAUGUGAAGAUAGAUCAUAGGACAAAACCAUAAUCUUUAGUCUUAAGCAAGUUAGGGUAAACUAGAGAAGUAGAGAUAGAACACAACAGAAGCCACACACACAAAUGACAUGGAAAGCAGCAAAGAAAUAGUAAAAGAAGCUCUUGACUUGUAGAUUAUGUCAAAGUGAUAAUCUAGAGUCAAGCUUCUUUUACUAUUAGUUUCGAUCUACCUUGUCAUCUAUAGGAUUAGUUAUUAUAUCUAAGUAUGUUUUCAGAAGAUUAGAAGAUUAAGCAAGGUCACUUGAUAGGUAAACUGAUAGCCGAAUGUUUUGUUUAUCAUGGAAAACCAGAGAUUAGCCUAUUUAAGCUCGGUGAUAGAGUUACUCAAUGAGAUCAUAAAUAGAAGCAUGAUUCAACCAAUAGACAUCAAUUUGAUGAAUGAAUGAAAAAUCUUAUUGUGUUAUGAUAUGAUGAUUGAUCCAAUAUGUUUUUGCCAAGUGAAGAAAAACACUAACAUUGCACUGAGUGAAAGCGAUCUAUACAAAGGCAAGAUUUGAAUAUUAUCCACCCGAAAGAGAAUGUCAGAUAUGACCACCAUCAGAAGAAGCAACAAUGCCACAAGUGAGCUCUCUUGUAUAUCCACGUGCUAUUGUCGAUUCAGUGUCGCGUAUGUUGAGCGUUUAUGUUCUACAUGUGUUAGAUUUAGAAUAGUGUGGUGAGCACUUCCAUUCUUGCCAAUUGAGAUGGUGAGGCUCAGGAACACUGCAUUUGCCAUGGUGUUUUGAUUUGUCUUCUGCAGCAACAUGAAACUCUCAUUGUAAUUGUACCCACUUAUGCCUGAAUACUGCUAUUACUUCAGUUAGACUCAAGAAGCACCAAGUUUCUGCAGCGCUCCUGCAUUUUGCUAAUGAUGAACUUCCUUCUCCAUUUCUUUCUUUUGUAAGGAAGAGUUAUGUACUAAUGAUGUAUGACUGGCUGGUUAAUUAUCUGUCAAUUCAACAACCAGUUUGUAUGCUGGCCAGUGCAAUUUGGCCGUAUGAACCAUUAGUUAUUAUAUAUGUACUGAUGUCUGGUUUGCCUGCUC